CAGCAAAUAGUUUAUAAAAAUAUAAAUUUUGGGGAUUUAAGAAGUGAAGUUUCAUUUUGCUGA
rnacentral:tRNA from 2 species